rnacentral:tRNA from 1 species
GCCGGGGUCGCCUAGCCUGGUCGAUGGCGGCAGCGCCAUUGUCGAAGCUUAAGACCUGCUGGGUUAGUCCCUUCGUGGGUUCAAAUCCCACCCCCGGCA